UGAGGAAUUUUGCGCAAUGGGGGAAACCCUGACGCAGCGACGCCGCGUGGAGGACGAAGGCCUUCGGGUCGUAAACUCCUGUCAAGAGGGACGAAAGCUACGGGGAUGAAUAAGCCUCGUGGUUGACGGUACCUCUGGAGGAAGCCCCGGCUAACUCCGUGCCAGCAGCCGCGGUAAUACGGAGGGGGCCAGCGUUGUUCGGAAUUAUUGGGCGUAAAGGGCGUCUAGGUGGCUGUGCAAGUCGGAGGUGAAAUCCCUCGGCUCAACCGAGGAAUUGCCCCCGAUACUGCAUGGCUUGAGUCCCGGAGAGGGUAGCGGAAUUCCUAGUGUAGCGGUGAAAUGCGUAGAUAUUAGGAGGAACACCAGUGGCGAAGGCGGCUACCUGGACGGGUACUGACACUGAAGCGCGAAAGCGUGGGGAGCAAACAGGAUUAGAUACCCCCGUAGUCC
rnacentral:rRNA from 1 species